UACGGAGGGUGCAAGCGUUAUCCGGAUUCACUGGGUUUAAAGGGUGCGUAGGUGGGCUGGUAAGUCCGUGGUGAAAUCUCCGAGCUUAACUCGGAAAGGUCAACUGAUACUGUGCGGCUAGAGUGCAGAAGGGGCAACUGGAAUUCUUGGUGUAGCGGUGAAAUGCGUAGAUAUCAAGAGGAACACCUGCGGCGAAGGCGGGUUGCUGGGCUGACACUGACGCUGAGGCGCGAAAGCUAGGGGAGCGAACGGG
rnacentral:rRNA from 1 species